CCUUCGGGAACUCUGAGACAGGUGCUGCAGUGGCUGUCGUCAGCUCGUGUUGUGAAAUGUUGGGUUAAGUCCCGCAACGAGCGCAACCCUUAUCCUUUGUUGCCAGCGAGUAAUGUCGGGAACUCAAAGGAGACUGCCGGUGAUAAACCGGAGGAGGUGGGAUGACGUCAAGUCAUCAUGGCCCUUACGAGUAGGGCUACACACGUGCUACAAUGGCAUAUACAAAGAGAAGCGAACUCGCGAGAGCAAGCGGACCUCAUAAAGUAUGUCGUAGUCCGGAUUGGAGUCUGCAACUCGACUCCAUGAAGUCGGAAUCGCUAGUAAUCGUAGAUCAGAAUGCUACGGUGAAUACGUUCCCGGGCCUU
rnacentral:rRNA from 1 species